rnacentral:piRNA from 1 species
UGAGUGUGGAUGGGCUUUGUCCAAGGUUC